GAUGAACGCUGGCGGCGUGCCUAAUACAUGCAAGUCGAGCGAACAGACGAGGAGCUUGCUCCUUCGACGUUAGCGGCGGACGGGUGAGUAACACGUAGAUAACCUACCUAUAAGACUGGGAUAACUUCGGGAAACCGGAGCUAAUACCGGAUAAUAUUUCGAACCGCAUGGUUCGAUAGUGAAAGAUGGCUUUGCUAUCACUUAUAGAUGGAUCUGCGCCGUAUUAGCUAGUUGGUAAGGUAACGGCUUACCAAGGCAACGAUGCGUAGCCGACCUGAGAGGGUGAUCGGCCACACUGGAACUGAGACACGGUCCAGACUCCUACGGGAGGCAGCAGUAGGGAAUCUUCCGCAAUGGGCGAAAGCCUGACGGAGCAACGCCGCGUGAGUGAUGAAGGUCUUCGGAUCGUAAAACUCUGUUAUUAGGGAAGAACAAAUGUGUAAGUAACUGUGCACGUCUUGACGGUACCUAAUCAGAAAGCCACGGCUAACUACGUG
rnacentral:rRNA from 1 species